UCAUCUGAUUGCGACGACCCCGGUGCU
rnacentral:sRNA from 1 species